UACGGAGGGUGCAAGCGUUAUCCGGAUUCACUGGGUUUAAAGGGUGCGUAGGAGGGCAGGUAAGUCAGUGGUGAAAUCUCCGGGCUUAACUCGGAACUGCCGUUGAUACUAUCUGUCUUGAAUAUUGUGGAGGUGAGCGGAAUAUGUCAUGUAGCGGUGAAAUGCUUAGAUAUGACAUAGAACACCGAUUGCGAAGGCAGCUCGCUACACAUAUAUUGACUCUGAGGCACGAAAGCGUGGGGAUCAAACAGG
rnacentral:rRNA from 1 species